rnacentral:lncRNA from 1 species
CCUUUUUCUCGGUCAAAGAAUCAUUGAUCGAUGUUGAUUUAGGACUGAUAAUUAUACUUUUAACAUAGGAUAUGAUAUUUAAUGAAUGAAGUUGAUCUUAUCUCUAUAGAAUAUUCUAUUGGACUUUUGAAUUAUCAGUGAUUGAGAUAGUAAUUAUGAAAUCGUGAUUGUUUAUUUAACCUUUGAGGAAAGGACGAUUAUGCCUAGCUAGCCUGCUUUUUUGACUCGUGAAACCUGGACUAAUAACCAUUGUGUGAAUUGUUAAAAUUUAUAAGUGCAUACUACAGAAUAAGUUAUAACUUACGAAUACAUGAGUAAUUUAGUUGAUGAAAUUACGAUUUUUGAUAUUGUUUAUACUGAUUAAUUGGUUUAGUGAUUGCCGUGCAUGUGGCCAAGAAAUAAUUCGAGAGCAAAUACAAAAACUGAAAAAUAUAAUAUUUUACAAAAUCUUUAAAAAUUCAAAUUGAAGACGAUAAUUUGCAACCACAAAAUGGUUUAAUGAUAUAAAGUCAAACAUGAAUAUCACAUGGCCGACACACAUUUUUCUAG